UCUGUCUCAGGAAUAAUAACCAGAGCCAGCCUCUUAUAGAGCUAAAAGAAAUACACAGUUGGUUAGGAACUGUAGAACUCUUACUGGGAACUCUGUCUCUCAACUUCUACCAUUCCAGGUGUUUGCUGAAGAGCAAAUUUGGACCACUCACUCCUGUCCACAUGGGCCAAACUAACGAGGCUUUCUCAUAUGUUGUAAACAUUUGAGACUCAGAUUCUUAUCAUUUGGUUUUGAACUGAUUAAAAGGAAAAGUAGGAGCGAAAAGUAAAUGAAAAGAGAUAGGAAGGUUAGUCCUUUAAAGGUUGAGAAAUAAUUUAUAUAUGGAUGUAAUCCUUGAUCUUUUAAUGGAUUGUGAAUUUUCUUAAUCAUGAAGAAUAGAUUUUAACACAAUUCAUUCAACAUUCCUUUAACCAAUGUUUAACCCAUACCUACUAUUUGUUUAUUAGGUACUGUACUAGAGAGUAUUGAUAUAAGGGUGAAUAAGACAAAACCUCAUCUCUAUGUUUACAGUCUUAUAUUAAAGACAAUCAUGAAAGUUCCUGUAUGGCUUAGCGGUUAAGGAACCCGACUAGUAUUCAUGAGGAUGCAGGUUCGAUUCCAGCCUAAAAAAGACAAGACAAAAAAACAAACAAACUAGUUACAAGGUAGUGUGACGAUUAUUAUGACAAAGUUAAGCACAGGACAUCAGAUUCUAGAGGAGGUAAUUUGUAAACCAAGACCCCAGGGGUGUGUAUAAGCAGGUCAGUAGAAUUUUCACAUUCCCCAAAAAUAAAUCUUUUCAUAGUCAUAGUCUCAAAUUGAGAAUAUUUUGAAAAUGUUAUUGUUUACAUUUAUCUAAAUUCUAGUUUUCUUAAUUUUCUUUACUAGAUCUUAAAUUUUCGUGUAAGAGGUUAAGUUAAAAAUCAUCUGUUAAACUAUGUUCCCUUUAAUACACUGUGAAGUAUGAAUUACAGGAUAGUUAUUAACAUUUGGUAUAUUGUAGAUCAGGUUUCUACUGGAGAGUUCAAAUUCAUCAUGUUUCAUCAUAAAAUUUAAUAUUAAAUUGUUUCAUUUUAAGUGGUAGCUGAUAAUACCAGAAAAUUUAAAUAUAUAUAGAAUUACUUUACAAGUAAUUCAUACGUUUUGUAGCUUUCAUACAUUUUGUAGCUUUAUUAGAGCUGGUCUGACCCAAGGCCUAGACAGACCAACUGUGCCCCUGGAUUAACAAGUGUUUACUGUAUGAUUUCCUUUUCCUUCCUUAUUGCUCUUUAUCUGUUUCUGGUUCACAGAGUUGAUAUGUAGAUAACUGUUGCUUCUCUUACUUCCUCUUUCUGAUAGGGCUAAAUCUAACUCAGUAAUUUACAAAAAUAAGCACAACUAACAAGUUUUUCAAGUCUACUUUUAAAAUGAUACUUUGUCCUAAUCUUCAUAGGCUUUCUGUUCAGAUAAACUACGUAGUCACAGUAAACUGGUGGCUUAUUUUAUUUACUGAUAGCUUAUUGUGGCUACUAAUAUUGUUUUGUGUUUCACAAUUCAGAUAUUCUGUGAACAUCCAGUACAUGACUGGCUCUUGGAUAAGCUGUGGUUUAUAGAGUGCUAUACUGAGCAAGCUGGCUUUCUAUCUCCUUACUCCUUCUCUAUCUUAGCUCUUUAGCUUAAAGGUACAGACAUCUCCCCUUUUCUCAUACAACUAGAACAGUACUAAUAGCUUUUGUUGAGUAAUGCUUACUUUAUAGAAGACACUAUGCUAGUUCCUAUACAUACCUAUAACGUGUAAUAGGCAAAAACAAUCCUAUUGGUUAGGUACCAUUAUAACAUGAUCAUCAUUUUACCAAUAGGGAAAAUGUAACUCCCUCAAUAUCAUGCAAUUGAAGAGAGGGAGCUAGAAUUCAAUUCCAGAUUUGACCAAUAGCAAAAGCCAGCCACUUAACCACCAUCCUACCUCAUAUAAAUCGGCUGCUGUCCCAGAUCCAUGGAUCAUUGAUCAUAUGAAUAGCUUCUCUUAGUGCUUGCCUCACACAGGAUGACCCCACUGACUGAACCACACAGAACCAUCAUGUGGCACUAGCUUCAAAGGGGCAAAUGCCGAUUAUGGUUACAGUCCACAAGGAAACUGAACCGCUAUCAAGAGAAACUCUAUGCCACAUUAAUUUAUCUGCACAACAAAGAUGGUUCACCACCACCACCACCACCACCACCACCACUACCACCACUUUUGGUUGUUAGGGACCCCCCUCAGCCCUCAUCUAUGCACCCUUACCUCCUUUUCUUUUCCUGGAAGUGGUGUUAUAGCAGUGUCUUUGGCAAGGUUAGCAAGUAACUCACUUAUUUACUUUGGUGGACAAUAAAUAACUGUAGCCUGUUAAUAAUUGUGCAUAUGUUUUAUGUGUCUUUGGAUAAUUUGAGAUUGAAUCAAUAUUCCUUUAUGCUUGGUCUCCUGUUAUAUAACUCUAUUAACAAAAAGUACAUAAGAAAAAAUAAUAAAUAAUUUAUUAGGGCAUUUCAUAAGUGAUACACAUUCAUGUAUUUGUGACUUUUGUUGAGAGUUAAAUUUUUUUUACUCAAUAAUAUUAAAAAAAACCCUGUCAUAUGUUUUCCUGCUUUAAAGUGUACUAGAUCUGUCACAAAUGCCUUAAACUGUGUUGUGUUUGUAUCUUUAUGUGAGCUGUAUGUAUGUAUUUUUGUUUUUUAAAGCUGUCCUUUAGAACAAUUUUGGUUUCACAGGAAUAGGAAGUUAUUAUAUAGAUACUUUUCAGCACGUCUAAAUUGUUAACUCUAUGAGAGUAAGUUGUUUUCUGAUUUAUCUUUUAGCAUAUCACAAUGUCAAACCCUUUGCAUGUAAUAGAUGCUCACUAAAUACUGUUGACUUAGUGAAUAAAUUAGUUUGUAAUAGGUUGAACGUAUUCGUAGUCCUAAAUUGUUCUUGCCAUCAUUUCACUCUGCAUAACUGAAGAAGUUUUACUAAGAUGAUUAAAAAUGUGUUAUAGAAUAACUGAUGUAGAUUCUAAAGCAGUGGGGUAAAGGAGACCUUGGAUAUACCCCUAUGAGGAAGCAGUGAGGAUGAGUUUCUCACUAUAGCUAUGAUUAGUGGCUUUUAUGUAUGACUGAAUUAAUUUAUUUCACUUAUGAUUUCCAUAUGGCACUCAAAAACUUUUUUCUUUUACCCCACUCUGACAAUUAAUAAAUUUCCUAUUAUCAAAAUAAUGUUUAUUAUAGAGAUUAACUAUAUAUGAAAGUAAAAAGAAAAAAUUAAAAUCAUACAUAAUCUUAUCAUUAUCCAGAUAUAAUCACUCAGUAUUUUUGUGUUUUCUUUCUGUUUUUUUUUCCUCAGCCACACAAAUUUAUUAUGUCCAUAAUAAAUGUCUAUAAUGUUUAUAAAACAUUGUAGUAUCACAAGUUACCUUAUGGAUCGUUUUAAAAUAUUUCUUUAUGUGGAUGUGCUAUGCUUUAAUUAUCUUUCUACUGUCAGACGUUUAUGUUACUUUUUGGUUUCUUGUUAUCAUACAAAUCAUCUUUUUAACAUAGAUCUCUGUUGAUUUUCAGUUGGAUAAGAUAGACUCCUAGAAAUAAAAUCACUGAGUAAAGAUUCUGAACUUUAAGUUCUUGAGACAUAUUCCUCAAUGGUUUUCCAGAAAAUUUUUAGCAAUUCACACUCUCAUCAGAGGUGUAUAAAGAUGUUUCAUUAAGUCAUCAUCAGAAUUAUUUCUUCUACACACUUUUAAGCAAGUGUUAUCAACCAGACCUAAUAAGAGUAAUAGGUUACUGUCAUCAACUAUACUCAGGAGUAUAUAAAAUCAAUAUUUUAAUUUGCUUUCAGAAAGAAUUAUGAAAUAUUCUAAGGGUCACAGUGGUUCAGAGGCUGUGUGUUGCAAUACAGUUUCCACCUACAUGCAAAUAUUUUUUGGGUCUGAUUGUAAACUGCAUACUUUAAGCUGGACUUCUGUAUUGAUACCUACUUCAUUGGCAGUUUUCUCAAGUGUGUUGGGUUGAGGCAUUUUAUACAGUGUGGCUUUAGCAUUCCCUCUUGAAGCACUCAAUCUUAUUUCUAUUUGCUGUUGUAACUUGAAGUUAAUGAGUUUAUUUUUAUUUAUUUAUGAAUUUUUGUGGAUUGCUAUAUAAAAGCACCUUUCAUCCUCACUGAUAUUCUGUCCAAACUGAGGGUAGAUGAAUCUGAGUGGUUUCAUUUUAGAGUGUAAUAGUCAUGUUUGUGUUAGGAAGGCAAUAGUCUUGGAAGAAUAUUUUAAAAAUCAUGUUUAAGUGUUUGUCUUAUCCUCUAAUGAAAGUAUCUUCCUUUCAGAGGUCUUGGUGAGUUUUAGUCCCUUGCUGGUACUUGUUUUUUAAUCAAAUUGCUCCAAGACCCUAUGUAUGUGUAUAAUCACACAUAUGAAUUUAGGGUGAACUGAAAUAUCUUAUGGGGAAAAUAUAUAUAUAUAUGUAUAUAUAAUAAUUCACCUCUUUAAGGACUGCAGUAUUUUCUACUUCCCUGCAGAAAUUCCCUCAGCAUAAACACUGGCUCCAGUUAGAAAAUUAAUUUUUAUUUAUAUAUUUGUUUUACAUUUCAGAGUACCUGAUAAAUCAUGUCUGUUUGUGUCCUGUAGCUGCAGCUGUGUAUAUGAGUUACCUAUAGUUAUGUUAAUCUGUGUAUUAACUGACAAUUUAUUAACUGAAAGCUUAUUACAAUUUUGUAUAUUGAAGUUGCUUAUAGAUUUCAUAAUGUGAAAGUCUUAAUUUUUGAGUACUUAUAAAUAUUGACAGUGUCAAAGGAUAGUACAUUUUAUACAUACCUUCUAUUUCACUCUAUCGUAAGAAUCAAACAUUUCUAAGAUUUGAUGAGGCAAAACAAUUUUAAUUACAAAGCAUUCAUCUGUUAAAGAGAUUAAAGAGUGUUUUAUGGAACUGUACUCUUAAAGCUACUGCUGAUAUGAGGUCAGAGACUAUUGCAAAGCCACUGUUUUUGACAUUCUUGUUUUAUUUUCAAACUUUUUUAUGUGCUACUUUGAGUUUAUUUUCUGUGGUGGUUGCUUUAGUUGAAGAGUAGUUGCAGAUGUACUGUCUGCUACACCUUCUUAAGCACUAGAGAAAUGGGGGAAAAAAAUGUUUGCACCUGUUUAAAAAUCUCAACUGUGUGGUGCUGUGGCUCCUGGGCAACAGGCAGGAAUUCUCAAAAGCUUGGUUGCACCUGCUCAAUUGUUGCUCGCAGCUGUGCCAUAUGAGUGAGCACACAGAGAAUCUUGUUAGUUUUCUUGUACUGUUAUGUAUUUUGUGUACUCCAAGUUUGAAAGAUUCUUACUUGAGGUAGACCUUGAACUAUUACAUUGGUUUAUGAUAAAACUCUGAUUUUAGCUCCCCAAAUUCUAUCCAAAUUCUUUGUUCUGAGUCUCACAUCUUUUUUUAGUAGCCGUUGACUGCCCUAGAUAAUGUCUAUGUUGACUUCUCUAAAGGAUACCUGGGGAGAGUAGAUCUCUGUAGAUAACUGGGUUGAUAAUAAUUUUUGUCCUCGCAGAGACAUUUUGUGUUUGGCUCAAUUUCACCAUGUUGGCAAUCCCACUAUGCGAGGCUGGAUGUAGUUAUUGAUCCAUUUAGCUGAACAGAUUUGAAAGCAUUUGGCUAUUAGUGGACACAUGGGGCAUAGUCAGAAAAUGUAAGAGUAUAUUCUAAGAUGAUUUCCUGAUUUGUGCCUGUGCCUCUGUUGCAGUUGGGUGGAAGUGAGAGAGAAAAAAGCGAACAUUAAAUAAUAAUCUUAGAAAAGGGGCUAAAAUCGAGAUGUAAAUUUUAAGGUUGGAAUAUCAUCCUUUACUUUUAUCAAGUUCUAGUCACCUGAUAUUUGUUCCUAAAUGUUGCUAUCAGUGAUGUUAACUUUCUUUUAGGUAAUAGCUCUAUAUAUCUUCUGACAAAUAUCUUUUUAAUACAGACAAGCUAUUAUAGACUAUCUUAUACUAGUUAGGUUAAGUUCUAUAAAUGUAAUAUAAGAAGUAGCAACUCAACAUACAAAGUAUUUAUUUAAAUAAUUUGGAAGUACCAAAUUCCCAGUAUUGAACACUUAUUCAAAUAACUUGCAUUAUUCUUCUUAAAAAUGCUGGAGUUCCCGUUGUGACGCAGCAGAAAUGAAUCCAACCAGGAACCAUGAGGUUGUGGGUUCAAUCCCUGGCCUCGAUCAGUGUGAUAAGGAUCUGGCAUUGCCAUGAGCUGGGGGUAGGUCGCAGACAUGGCUCAGAUCUGGUCUUGCUGUGAUUCUGGCGUGGGCUGGCAGCUAUAGCUCCAAUUAGACCCCUAGCCUGGGAACCUCCAUAUGCCACUGGUGCAGCCCUAAAAGGACAAAGGACAAAAAAAUAAAAAUAAAUUUAAAAAAAUUUUUUUAAAUAAAAAAUUCUAAGGAAGAGAGUUCCCUGGUAGCUCAGUGGGUUAAGCAUCUGGCAUUGUUAAGGCUGUGGUUCAGGUCACUGCUGUGUCACUGAUUUGAUCCCCGGCCCAGAAACAUCUGCAUGCUGCCAAUGCAACCAAAAAAAAAAAAAAAAA
rnacentral:lncRNA from 1 species